UCCAGACUCCUACGGGAGGCAGCAGUGGGGAAUAUUGCACAAUGGGGGAAACCCUGAUGCAGCGACGCCGCGUGAGUGAAGAAGUAUUUCGGUAUGUAAAGCUCUCUCAGCAGGGAAGAUAAUGACGGUACCUGAGUAAGAAGCCCCGGCUAACUACGUGCCAGCAGCCGCGGUAAUACGUAGGGGGCAAGCGUUAUCCGGAUUUACUGGGUGUAAAGGGAGCGUAGACGGCAUGGCAAGUCUGAAGUGAAAGCCCGGGGCUCAACCGCGGGACUGCUUUGGAAACUGUGCAGCUCGAGUGCAGGAGAGGUAAGCGGAAUUCCUAGUGUAGCGGUGAAAUGCGUAGAUAUUAGGAGGAACACCAGUGGCGAAGGCGGCUUACUGGACUGUAACUGACGUUGAGGCUCGAAAGCGUGGGGAGCAAACAGGAUUAGAUACCCGAGUACA
rnacentral:rRNA from 1 species